UACGAAGGGAGCUAGCGUUGUUCGGAAUUACUGGGCGUAAAGGGCGCGUAGGCGGCCGUUUAAGUCAGAUGUGAAAGCCUUGGGCUCAACCUGAGAAUUGCAUUUGAUACUGGACGGCUUGAGAUCGAGAGAGGAAAGUGGAAUUAUGAGUGUAGAGGUGAAAUUCGUAGAUAUUCAUAAGAACACCAGUGGCGAAGGCGACUUUCUGGCUCGAUACUGACGCUAAGGCGCGAAAGCGUGGGGAGCAAACAGG
rnacentral:rRNA from 1 species